GAUGAACGCUGGCGGCGUGCCUCAAACAUGCAAGUCGAGCGGGGCUAUGUAAUAUCGCAAGGUAGAACGUAGCCUAGCGGCGAACGGGUGAGUAACACGUGGGUAACCUGCCUGGAAGACAGGGAUAACGAUUCGAAAGGGUCGCUAAUACCUGAUAAUAUCCUUUCAUCGCAUGGUGAUAGGAAGAAAGGGGAAACCCGCUUUCAGAUGGGCCCGCGUCCCAUCAGCUAGUUGGUAAGGUAAAGGCUUACCAAGGCGACGACGGGUAGCCGGUCUGAGAGGAUGUACGGCACACUGGGACUGAGAUACGGCCCAGACUCCUACGGGAGGCAGCAGUUGGGAAUCUUAGGCAAUGGACGAAAGUCUGACCUAGCGACGCCGCGUGAGGGAAGAAGGCCUUCGGGUUGUAAACCUCUGUCAGUGGGGAAGAAGUAAGUGACGGUACCCCAAGAGGAAGCCCUGCUAACUACGUG
rnacentral:rRNA from 1 species